rnacentral:rRNA from 1 species
UACGUAGGGUGCAAGCGUUAAUCGGAAUUACUGGGCGUAAAGCGUGCGCAGGCGGUGAUGUAAGACAGAUGUGAAAUCCCCGGGCUUAACUCGGAACGGUCAAGUGAUACUGUCGUGCUAGAGUACAGAAGGGGCAACUGGAAUUCUCGGUGUAGCGGUGAAAUGCGUAGAUAUCGAGAGGAACACCUGCGGCGAAGGCGGGUUGCUGGGCUGAUACUGACGCUGAGGCGCGAAAGCCAGGGGAGCGAACGGG